GAACGGGGUCUUUAACUAAAUGGGGAAAAAUAAGGGUUUUCUUUAAUUAGGGGGAAGGGGGUAACCGGGGUAACCCCCCUUAAGAUGGGAAAUUUGGGAACCGGAGUUAAACCGGAAACAUUGGACCGCAGGUUUAAAGGAAAGAGGUUUGUUUCAUUAAAGAGGACCCGGCCGUUUAGCUAGUGGUAAGGUAACGGUUACCAAGGCAACGAUAGUAGCCGACCUGAGAGGUGAUCGGCCACACGGAAUUGAGACACGGUCCAGAUUCCUACGGGAGGCAGCAGUAGGGAUUUUCCGCAAUGGCGAAAGCCUGACGGAGCAACGCCGCCUGAGUGAUGAAGGGUUUCGGCUCGUAAAACUCUGUUAUUAGGGAAGAACAAAUGUGUAAGUAACUGUGCACGUCUUGACGGUACCUAAUCAGAAAGCCACGGCUAAAUACGUGCCAGCAGCCGCGGUAAUACGUAGGUGGCAAGCGUUAUCCGGAAUUAUUGGGCGUAAAGCGCGCGUAGGCGGUUUCUUAAGUCUGAUGUGAAAGCCCACGGCUCAACCGUGGAGGGUCAUUGGAAACUGGGAAACUUGAGUGCAGAAGAGGAAAGUGGAAUUCCAUGUGUAGCGGUGAAAUGCGCAGAGAUAUGGAGGAACACCAGUGGCGAAGGCGACUUUCUGGUCUGUAACUGACGCUGAUGUGCGAAAGCGUGGGGAUCAAACAGGAUUAGAUACCCUGGUAGUCCACGCCGUAAACGAUGAGUGCUAAGUGUUAGGGGGUUUCCGCCCCUUAGUGCUGCAGCUAACGCAUUAAGCACUCCGCCUGGGGAGUACGACCGCAAGGUUGAAACUCAAAGGAAUUGACGGGGACCCGCACAAGCGGUGGAGCAUGUGGUUUAAUUCGAAGCAACGCGAAGAACCUUACCAAAUCUUGACAUCCUUUGAAAACUCUAGAGAUAGAGCCUUCCCCUUCGGGGGACAAAGUGACAGGUGGUGCAUGGUUGUCGUCAGCUCGUGUCGUGAGAUGUUGGGUUAAGUCCCGCAACGAGCGCAACCCUUAAGCUUAGUUGCCAUCAUUAAGUUGGGCACUCUAGGUUGACUGCCGGUGACAAACCGGAGGAAGGUGGGGAUGACGUCAAAUCAUCAUGCCCCUUAUGAUUUGGGCUACACACGUGCUACAAUGGACAAUACAAAGGGCAGCUAAACCGCGAGGUCAUGCAAAUCCCAUAAAGUUGUUCUCAGUUCGGAUUGUAGUCUGCAACUCGACUACAUGAAGCUGGAAUCGCUAGUAAUCGUAGAUCAGCAUGCUACGGUGAAUACGUUCCCGGGUCUUGUACACACCGCCCGUCACACCACGAGAGUUUGUAACACCCGAAGCCGGUGGAGUAACCAUUUAUGGAGCUAGCCGUCGAAGGGACAA
rnacentral:rRNA from 1 species